rnacentral:lncRNA from 1 species
UUUUUUUUUUUUUGUUGAUACGAUAAAUUAUUCUACACUAGGGAGAGGACUUGAAAAGGUCCAAGAAUAAUUUGGAGAGAAUUGAACCAUUAUCAGACGAGUGCACUACACAUUCGCUAGCAUUUUUUAAGCAGAACCACUUUAACAUGACAAAUUGAUGGGAUGCAAGGUUUGAUACAUUGGUGGUGGCUUGCCUCCCACGCCACCGAGCCUUAAUGCAUUAGUGGUGGCAAAGGCUGGUGGUUAUCCUCUCUACUGCCAAUAUGUUGAAUUCUGCUAUGUAGGUGAUGCCUGGAGACCAAGAGGCCAGUAGUUUGCUUUGCGCAGGUCCUUCAAAAUCUUCUAGAGUUUUAAGGGCCUGUUUGGCACCCCAGUUUUUUACCAAGUUUUUUACCUACUAGUUUUUUAACAACUUUUGCUACAGGAACCCCAAAAAACUUUCCAAAGUUUUUUAUCUACACAUUUCAAAAAUCUAUACACAAAAAAUUUCCCAAAAACUUUCCUUCCUCCCUCACCCAACCCACCACACCAGCCACCACCUCUACCACCUCUCCCGACGCCAGUAACCUCAAAAAAAAUUUUUGAGUCCCUCACCCUCACCCCCUCUCCUUCCCUCCCCUCUUCCCCUCUCCCUCCCCCGCCACCCUCUCCCUCCUGCUAGGUACGAUAGGGGAGAGGGAGGGGGCUGCGAUCUGGUCGCGGUCUGGUCCCAGAUCGCAAAGCAGAGAGGGAGAGGGUGGCGGAGGAGGGAGAGGGGAAGAGGGAAGGUAGGGAGGGAGAGGGGAAGAGGGAAGGGAGGGAGGGAGAGACAAAGCAAAAAAAAAAUAAUAAUGCACAGCUGCCGGCCUUCCUCGGGCGUCGGAGUGCGAGGGAGAGGGAAGAGGGGAGGAAAGGGGGAGAGUGGGCAGAGAGGGUGGCGGGCCUAGGGGGUAGCGGGCAGAGAGGAGAAGAAAUGAAUGGUGGAAAAGUUUAGGGGUGGCGGGGGAGGGAGAGGGACGGGGGAGAGGAGAAAAGCAAAAAGAAAAAAAAAGAAGAACAGAGGUGGGAGGCAGAGGAGAGGUAAUGGGGAAGGGGGAGGGGAAAGGAAGAAGAAGAAGAAGAGGAGAGGAAAGAAAAGAAAAAGGAAAGAAAGAAAAAGAAAAAGAAAGAGAAAGAGAAAAAAAGUUUUUCACCUUACAAAAACUUCUACAAAAUUUUUUCAAAAACUUCUACAGUGCACUACAGUAAAGUUUUAGACAAACUCCCAAAAAAUUCAGGUUCCAAAGAGGCCCAAAUUGUGAUGACUCGUAAAAUUUCUUAUAUUUUUAUUAAAAUUCCCUUUAGUUUGAAAUUUUUUACUUUACAAAACUUUUAAUACACAUUCACUUCCCCAAUAGCUACAAAUAAUCAUAAAAACAAGGGUUUUCCUUUUUACUUUCAUCGUUACGAUAAAUUAGGGUUUUUACGCCUUUUCGUCGUGUGAUUAUUCGGUACGGAGUGUGGAUAAAAUUUGGUGAUUAAGAAUGAGUUUUAGAUGAUAUUAAGUGUGGGAUUAGAAGUAAUAAUAAUGAGGUAGUAAAUUAUAAGUUAAAACCCUAGUAUACGCGAUUUAAGGAAAAAACAAUUCGGACCGACGGGUGUCGCGCGCUACUGAUUGAACACACCACUUGAACACUACUCUAUUACCUCAAUCUCCUUACUUUUAUUUCAGCAAAAAUCAUCCCAAAAUACCCUUCAAGGCAGCUGAAAUUCUUGACUCCAAGAGAGAGAGAAAAGAAAAAAAAUUGUGAGAACCUAAGUGUGACAAGUGUUGGCCAUUUAAGGCCCUUUGACCAAGCCAACUUUCUUACCUUCUUAUCUUCAUUUUAGCUCAUUUCUUCACCAUUUUUUUUCUUGUUUGGCCAAGAGCAAGGAGAGGGAGAAAGAGUGAAGAGAAUUUCUAUUUCCAACCUCAAAUCAAGAGUUGAGAGUGAAACCAAGAAAAACUAAAUUGAUUAACUUGUAGGUUGAGAGUUGGGGAAGCUUAAGGACCCAAAAAUUUCAAGGAGAAGUGGAGGAUAACUCUAGCAAACUUUGUUUUUGAGGUAAUAUGGCUGACCACCCCUUUCUUUUUCCUUAAUCAUGUUGGAGUUGCUUAGUAGCUUGUAUUUGUGGUUGUAAUGCUUAUAUCAAGUGAUUUUGGAUGGUUGGGGGUGAUGAAUUUGAGUUUGGGUUUGAAUGAUUCACUUAUCAUACUUGUUGUAUGGGUGGUAUAUGAUGUAUAUAAGUUGGUAUAAGAGGUGGUAGUGAUAGUUUCAAGCUAAAAAUGAGAUUUAUACCUUGAUUGUAGCAAAUUUCCAGAAUUGAAGUUAAAGUAUACCCUGUUCUGCCCUGUUCUAGUUCACUAUGUUAGAGGCCGAAUUAGGCUUAACCUAAAACAUAAAAGUUGUAUAGAAUGAUAUUUUAUAGCUGCCUGCAAAAUUUCAGCUCAAUCAGAGCAAUGUAGCCUAUGAAAAGACCGAAAUACCCUGACUGCCCUAGGUGAAUCCAGUGAUCAGUUUUGGAUAUUUUACCAAUCUGGUCGUGUCUUUUCACCAUAAUAUGUACUAAACUAGUAUUUAUCCAAAACAUGAAAUUUGUAGUACUAUGUUUUAACUUUCCAACGCCCCUGAGAACGCCUUAAUCGGACUUCGGUAGCUUGAGUUAUGGUCAUUUGAAUGUAGUGCAGUUAACUAGCCUAUUGGUAGGAAUCCGGUUUGUAAAUUGGGAAUCUGACUUGGAUACACUAGAAACUGGACUAAGUGGUCUUCAUCAAAGUUGUAAGCCUUUGUCUUAGAUUCGAAAUGGUAUAAAUUACACCCCAAUCUGAUAAGGGUAUCUUCGGUUGUGUCCGUUCCGCUAAGCGACAUCAAAUCUGUCUUUUGUUUUUUGACUUAAAUUUCAUUUCCGGACAUUUUCCUAACUUGAUUUUGUACUUGUAUGACUUUGAACCUAUUGAAUGGCUAUUGAAAUGAAAUUAUUUUGUGAGUGACUUUGGGACUGAUUGAGGAAAAGAAUGAAGCCAUAAAUGGCUGAAAAAUAGGUAAAUACAAAGGACGUGCUGCCCAAAUUUACGCUCGAAGACUAGGUAGAUAUACUUGUGACUUGAGUAAGGUUUGAGAGCGAAUACCACGUGAACCAUCUAGGAUAUUUGCGUCUUCUUUUAUCGAGGUAUAUAAGUUAGAACUUGGCCGAACUUGUACCCUUGAGAAAAUGGAAAUAACGACUACUUGAAAUAUGUUUUCCUCGUUCUUUUGACUCCAAUGGGAGUUCUAAAAUUUUAACCGCUUCCUUAUCGAAACUAAACAAGCGAGUAUGAAUUUUCUGGGAUUUGAUAAGUAUCCGGAAUACUACAUAACGAGUUACAUUUACUUAAUUUUCUUGAAGCGAAACUCCUAUGUUUCAAAUUCUAGAAAGGUUUACAUUCGUAAAUGAUAUUUUAUCGCAGAUUUGGACUCCAACCAAGGAGUUGGACCGGAACGUGAUUUUUGAGAGGCACAAGACUUUUGGUGAGUGCUUCCAAAUAUCUGAUUGAACUUGAAACUUGGUUUCACUACUUGACUAAUGUGAUCGAAUGAUAUGUGAUUGGUAUGGUCGGACAAGAGUGUACUUUAUCGCACUUGCCAUAAUGUGAUAUGUACUCGUUUAUUAUUGCAAUUGACUUGAUAUACUUGUGCUUGACUUGUAAGUACUGAGCGGCAGUAUGUACCACACUCGAUCCGAGUGGGAGGUACCUCUCAUUUCCGUCUCCGUACUUUUAUCUUGAUUCAGUCGAUUGGAGAGGUUAUCUCAUCGAAUUCUUGGGGACCUAAACCCCAUUGGCUAGUUAAUCGAGUCAAGUCGGCAAGGGAUUGGUCGAUUAGAUAACAAACCAUGGGUAGUUAGUGAUGUCGAGUGGAGUGUUAUCUUCUCGACUAAUCGGUAUACUCGAGUAUUACCACCAGUGCUUAGUUGGUAUUUGGGCCCGGCAAGGGGGUUGAAUGGUGGACGGAUUGGAGUUAAACGAAAUACUACUGGAUUGGUUACUUUACGUGAAAGUUGACAGAGUGUCAACUGAUACUUGAUCAAGCUCUGGUGAAGCAACGAGAAUUUGGCUCUUGAGAGCCAUCUGUAUCCUUAUAUUUUGAUUGUUAUUCGUAGUGUUAUUGUUUCUUUUAGAAAAAGAAUUUUACACUCGUUCAUUUUGAGAUUGCUACUUGAAGUGUUAUCGCUCACUUUUAUGAACUCUUCAUAUUCGUUACUUUGCUACAUUGGAAACUUGUACGUAUAAAUAAUGGUCAAUUUGCUAUUUGGAACCUCACUGGAUUUUUAGUUCAUUCCACGCUAUUUGUUUUCCUUACAGGGGUACGAAUGAGGCGUGAGACGUGUAUAGACUAGCGUAGUCUAGUUGUUUUGACUUUUGUAAUUGUACUCACACUAGUCGCUCGAUUAGGGUUGAAUGUACUGAGAAUUUAAAUCUUUUGAAGUAUUUGGGACUGUAUGGAUGGUUGAGAUAGAAAUGAAUGUAUACGUGUGUUCCAAACUUGGGAACUAUUAUUUCGUUUAUUUUUUAGAGUGCAUCUUAGUUUAUUUGAUGUGAGUGAGUGAGUCCUGACGAGAGUUGGAUAAGCGGUCCGCUAAACCCUAGGGUACGCUCAGGGGAAGGUGGGGCCGUCACACAAAUCCAUUAAAGUAGGAAGAAAGAACCAGAAAAAAAAAACACCCAAAAAAAAGGAAAAAACAGAGAAAAGAAAAGCCCAAAAAGGGAGUCCGAGGAGUAGGAGCAAGGAGCUGCGCUGCUGGUGCUAUUGACGGAGUCCACGAUCACAGCCACCACUACCGUGGGUCAUAACUGGAAAAGCACUAUGAAACUUCGUUGCUCCAUAUGUUGUUUGAAUUUUUCUCUCACCUGUUUGAUAUUAUGUUCAAGAAUUUGGCUUCUUCGCUGUAUCGAUGAAUCUCCCUUCCCUUUAAAUUUCCCUUUUGCUUGUUGUCUAUGAUAUGAUUUGUCUAUGGUGGAAUGGGAUUUAGGUGGACUGACAUUCGUUAUUUGUGUAAGCGGCACCUCAAUUAGACCUAGAUUUGUAAAGUUUUGUUGCGCCAAUAAUGGCCCCAAAUGAGAAAUUGAGUUAUAUGGACAAAUUGAUGAAUCUGAGCAUGUGGGGGAGCAAUUCCGAUCAAUUGAAAGUUGAUCGGAGAUCGUGAACGAUGCCGGAAAACCAAGAGGGCCGAGAGAGAACGUUUGAUUUUUUUAAAAAUUAUUUUUAUUUUUAUGUUUUGCUGCAUUUUCUGAGCGGAUCUAGCUAUGUGAUAGUGUGAGAUGUUCGUGUGCAAGAGAGAGAGGAGCCACAGAGUUGUUGUCAUCGGAAGCCGGCGAACUUCAUGAGACGAGAGGAAACAGAGCAGCAACAGUUCUUCUGAAUUGAGGAAGAAGAUGAUGUAUUUCUGGAGAUUUACAAUUUCAGUCCCUAAAUUUCCCUUUCUUUGUGACUUAGCCCCAAUUUUUAGGACUUUAUAAUUUGUCCCCUGGAGCUUGCUUUAGGUAGUUUGGAUUAAGUUCCUAGAAGGGAAAAUCGUUCAAAACGUCCCUCACUUUUAAAAGUGUAAUUUUACGUCCCUUACAAAUUCAUAUUGAUCAAAUUUGGUCCCUACCUAGGUUUUUGACUAGUUUUUGGUCAGAAUUCACCACGUGACUUGCAUGUAAUCAUUUUUUAUAGGCAAAAUUGUCAAAUCAAAUGUUUACAUAAUCUGAUUCAUAGUUCCUAACAUUUUACAAAAUGAAUUUUUUCGUCCCUAACAUUUUACAAAAUGAAUUGUUUCGUUCCUCACAUUUCAAAAAAUGAAUUUUCCAUCCCUCAUAUUUUUCAAAAUGAAUUUUUUCAUCUCUGAUUGAUCAUGUGUAUGAAUAGUUUUUUUCUAUAAACCCACGUAUAUGUCUAUUUGAUUUUAUCUGAACAGUAUGAAUAACAUGUAAUUUAUUUCUAUUGGAUUUCAUCUAAACAUGCUAAUCGUAGUUAUACACAUGCUAUUCAAUAAAUAUAUAUAGGGGUUUAAAACUAAUAAUUUUGUUUGAACUCACGUAUAUAUUUAUAUAAUUUCACCAUUUGAACCUAUUCAAUAUUUGUGACAUUUCUCUUUUUGGUAAUAAUUUAUUUAUUGAAUUGUAUAAUAAGGUCAUCUAAUUAAUGAGUCAUAAGUCGAAUUCUAUAAUUGUGCUAAUAAAUUUCAGUUUAAAUAUGAAAUUUCUACUCGACACUUUUAAGACCAAUAAUUAAAUUACUUACCUUGUAAUUGUCUUAAAAUUUGAAAAUGCCAAUCACUUAUUUCUUUUUGUCAUACUUUUCUUUUGUUUAUUUUUUUUGUCCAAAUUUAAUUCGAUAUAACACUCGAUAAUAUUUAGGAUUAAAUGUCUUCCUUAUUUUCAAAUUUCGAGUAAAAGAAAAUGAAUAUAAGUGAAAAACUAAUAAUUUUUUUAAACCCAUGUAUAUAUCUAUUUGAUUUCAUUUGAGCAGUACGAAUAGUAUGUAAUAUAUCUCUAUUUGAUUUCACAUGUUAUUCGUACUGUUCAAGUGAAAUCAAAUAGAUAUAUACAUGAAUUUAAAAUAAAUUAUUCACACACAUGAUCAAUAAAAAAUGAAAAAAUUCAUUUUGAAAAAUGUGAAGGAUGAAAAAAUUCAUUUUGUGAAAUGUAAGGGACGAAAAAAUUUAUUUUAUGAAAUGUGAGGGAUUAUGAAUCGAAUUAUAUAAAAUUUGAUUUGAUAAUUUUGCCCUUAAAAUAUGAUCACGUGCAAGGCACGUGGUGAAUUCCGACAAAAAACUAGUCAAAAACCUAAGUAGGGACCAAAUUUGACCAAUGUGAAUUUGUAAGGGAUAUAAAAUUAUAUUUUUAAAAGUAAGGGAAGAAAAAAGUUAUUUUGUAAAAUGUGAGGGACGUUUUGAACGAUUUUCCCUUCCUAGAAUUGAACUAGUUAACUAUUAGUUUAAAUAGCAUUUCAAUUGGUCAAGUUGUAGUUAAUUUUAUUUUCUCUUUUUAGGAAUAAUGUAACCCUUAACCGGCAUAGGUGCUCGUAAUUUUUGUAUUCUUUUUCUUUUCUUUUCACUUAAUUACUUUUUAUUUUGUUAUUAUUGUGGAAUGAGAUCAUGUGGGCCGCAGGUGCGUUGUCGCUUGGCUUUUCCAAUUCCAAUGGAAGCUUUGGAAUUAAUCAUUCUGUUUUACUUCACUCUUAAGGUGCUGUACAUGUUUUUAUGUGUUUAGAUAUUAGUUAAUUACAUGUUAUGUGCUUAGCUUAAACUUAGUCAUUUUGGCCUUAAAAUUAAGAGAAUAAGAUUAAACUCGCAACCCAUUUUGCCGAACCGUCAAAAAAGGGGACCAGAGCAGUGAAUUUGGCCAGAAUUCCUAGAGCUUUGUAUAGUUAUAGAAGAAGAAAAUUAAAAACAAAAGAAGCAUUUUUCAGAAAAAACCCAAAUUCCUCCGUGAAACUAAUGCCACAAUUCUCAAGAAUUAUAGCAAUAAAAUAACAAAAAAAAGAUCGAUAGAAUCCUAGACUGGAGAAACCAAUUUUAUCAGAUUUUUUUGGGAAAAAAAUAAAAGAUAUUUAAGAUAAAACCCUAAAUAAGAAUCUCACCAAGGCACUUUGCCAGAGUUGGAGAUGGUUGCCGUCAGAAAUAAUUAUAUUGGUGGUGAUUUUUCAAUCUCUCCAAUCUCCAUCGCUCACUUUCUGUAUCUUUAGCCGCAAAUUCUUUCUUUGUUUUUGUUAGAAUGUGGGAGUAGCGAGCUCUAUUGUAAAGAGCCAUGCAUUUCAAUGAAGGAAAAUAACUUCAGUAACUCAAAGGAGGAAGUUAUUUUCCACCAAGUGAAGUUAUUUUCUUCAGUAACUCAAAAGAGCCGUGCGUUUCAAUGAAGAAAAAUAACUUCAGUAACUCAAAAGAGGAAAUUAUUUUCCACCAAGUGAAGUAAAAUAGUUUCUCCACAGAAAUUUUUUUUUCCAAGUUAAAUGAUUACCAAACACAGGAAAAUUUGGAAAACAUUUUGAGGAAAACAUUUUAUGUCCAAACAAACACACCCUGAGUGAUAAGUGAAUAGUUUAUCAUUUAUUUUUGGAAGUAAAUUUUGCCUAAAAAAUUCAAUGUCAUUUAAUUAAUUUAAAUGUUUAAUUUUUGGUUAUGAAACACGUGUGAACAUAUUAAAAUCUGAAACCAUUAAUUUUAAGUGAUAAAUUGGAUUAUUAAACAAGGCCUUAGUCAUAGUGUAGUAUCAAUUCAACGAUUCGUAAGUUUCACUUAUAAGAAUUUAUAAAGACAUGAUUUUUUUUGUGUGUUGGGGGAGGGGGAGGGGGGAGGGGGGAGGGGGGAUGUUAAAGAGGAGACUCCAGAUUUCGCAAAACAGUCUCAAGAUAUGUUCACGUGGGUAAAAAAGAUAACUCAAUUAAAUGGUUGAAAGACAAACUAAACUAUUUGAUACUCGAAUCAAAUUUGGUUUGGUAAGAGUUCAUUUUAACUUGAUUCGCUAAUUAAUCAAACCUACUAAAUAGCAUUUCAUGUUCGAUGAACUUUCAAAUUCGAUUCGAGCUUACUUUGAUUAACUUAAAAUUGGAUUUUUUAGGUAAAAAUUCAAACUAUUCAAACUUGACUCAAUAAAAGCUUGUUUAAAUUCGACUUAAAAAAUAAACAAACCAAAAUUGAACACCAAGGUGUUUGAUUUCAUUAAACUCAUUUACAGCCAUAUGGAUUGAACUUUUAAUAGGUGCAGCAUCAGUCCAAGCCACUCAAGACACUUGUUAACUGAGGUAUGGGUGCAACAUAAAAUUUCUGCUUUACCCUCUAAAAUUACUUUCUUUUAGUGUAUUCUAUUUCUACCCUCUCCACCCCCACACACCCCCCCUUCCCCCCAUCCCCCAAAUACAAAUUUAAAAUUGUAGUUUAUCUUUUGUAUUUCUCAUAUUCAAAACUCAACGCGGUAAUGGAUUCUGAUCUUGAAUUCAGCAAUAUGUAUCGAUCAUUCCAAUCAAUACCCCGGUCGAUUCAUCACCAUUUACGACAACAAAAAAGAUAUUGAGAAUCUUACUUCAAAACCUAUGACAAAAAUCAAAAUAUGCCAUUUCAAACUAUGGUAUCUAUAUUGGUAGCUAGGAAGAGAAUUACAACCAUCGCAACAGACAAUAGCCAAGGGAGGGAGUGUAAGGUAUAUCGGUGUGGAGAAGAUGUCCAGAUGAGAAUCACAACCAAACAAUAACCUUACCACUUUGGUGACAAACCAUUUGAUGAAUUAACUACAUAAUUGAACACUUCAAUCAAGCGAAUCAUAAAGGUCCUUCCUACUGUCAAUAUCUUAAAUUCUGCUAUUAUAUUUGAUCCCCGGAGACCAGAAGGCCAUUAAUUUGCUUGGCUCAGGCUUCCAACGUGUACAACGGUAUGGAAGAAUUUAGGCAUCCCUUUAAACCUUAGAUCCUUAAACAUUCGACUCUCAGGAUUGUAAGAAACUAGGGCUCCCCAUCUGUACUGCAGCAAAAUUUCGCCAUUUUUCAGAAGGCAAAGAACCCGGGCAAAUCGUUCAUCAAGUACAUUCUUCCAAAUCCUGUAUUUUUGCUGCAUUUCUGGUGACUGAAAUGUCGUCACAUAAUAAACCCCAAUGCUGAAAACUUUCUCCCAGGACUCUUUCACCCCGUAUUGUUUCAUAAUCCAAAUGUCUUGAGCCCCGUAAUUAGUAUUUGAAGGAUCAACAACAGCCAGAAAACCUCCGAGAACACUGAGAGAAUACCGGUGUCGGAUUAAGUAAAGAUGAUUUUCUGGCAGUGGGACUUCUCUAAAAAGCUCAUCAGAUAAAUCAAAUGACACCAGAAUCCGUUCCCGACGAGCAUGAUUCUUUCCCCAUAUACUCACCCAGUGAAGCCUUCCGUUUACAAAAACUCCCCCUGAUGACUGAUCUAGCUUGUAAGGUAUGUCUCCAAUAAUAACUCUCCAUUUUUCACUGCUCUGAUAGAAUACUUGAACCUCUGAUCUUGGAAAAUUUUGAGCCCUGAAUCUCAGCGAUCUGAGUGGAGAUAAUUCAUAUAAAUUCCAGUAGUAGACUAUCCUUACUACGCGAUAUUCAUUGGUAUGAGGAUGAACUCCGAAUCCUAUUAUCACUUCUUGGUCCUGGAAUUCAGUGGAUUUUGGUAACACUUUAUAGUCUCGGGUAAAGGGAUUAUAAACGUAUGGUCCAUCAUUGACCAAAGUACUCGACAAGCAUAGCAGGCCAUUACACGAGCUAACAAUUCGAAAUUCAGGCAAAGUACUAGAAAAGGGAGUAUGAAUUCUUCUGAGUACAUUUUUUUCAUGAUCUUGAUGAGAAAAUUCAACAAAAUAAAGCUGAUUGUUCACUGGAAAAUCACAAUGAAAGAUGAGGGCUAUGUCGUUGUUUUUUAAUGCUCUGGUGAGAUGCAAAUUAGCAAGAUCUUGAUCAAGUGACAACUUGUGGCAACUUCGACAAACAUACCUGAAUUGGAUGACGGAUUUUACGUGUAGUCUGGAAAUUAUGUCGAGGGCGAUUUCUUGAGGUAGACUAUAAAGAUUAUUUCCAGGCUGAUGAUGUUCUUUUGGAGUUGAUUUUCUUCUCUUGGAUUCUCUCUCAAUUUCCAUGUCGUCUUCCAUGAUGGUAGUAGAAAAUGUGAACGUUUCAAGGUUUGAGGUGGCGGCUAGACUGCUUUAGGUCACUUGGACUUAAUUAUAAGGGUUAAUUGCACUUACUUCCCUCGAGCUUUGUCCAUAUUACCAAACAAACCUUGUAGUUUGUCCAAAUAACAUUUACCCCCUUGUCAUUGACGGUUCAUAAACUCUGUUAACUGAUGUCACAAGAUGAUAAAAUUGCCCUUCAAAACAAAAACAAGAUUAUUGUUAUAAAAGAACUUAAUAUUUAGGCAUAAAAAAAAUGUCCAAAGGAGAAAUGAAGUAUCUUAGUAAGCAAAGCUAAAGAAAAAGAAAGAUAGUAACAUUAAGAGUAAAAAAUUUGCUGCAAAAAAAAUUAAGAAAAUGAAGAAAAAUACAUGUUGAGAGAUAUCAAACAGACAAAGAGUAACUAUGAAAAAAAAAGAAAGUAAAAUAUAAAUAAAUUAGCGACUGCCUAUUUAAUAAAUAAAAAAAAUAUAAUUGAGAGGGAUACUGAAGCAUCGAUCUUCUUUUGCCUUUAUCAACUCUCUCCACUAGCUCCCAACACAAUUUGCCUCCAUCUCUUUACCUCAACAGACACCCCCUUCUUCAUCUUCUCUGCUACUACACAUGCACACUAAGAGAUUAGCAGUUUGACACUCUCAAAUACACCUUUUGAAAGAAAAAGAUUGUAUUCCACUAGUAUCUAGCGAGAGACUGUAAGGAUUGGAAAGGCCAAAAUAGGAGAAAGUAAUUAUAAUUUAUGGACUCUAUCUUGGUGUUGGCAUAACAAGGUCUAGAUCAGUUUGAGACCUUAUGACGAUAAGUUUAUGCUUUCAGUUAUUGAUUUGAGUUUGUUGGUGGUUAAAUGUAAGGCUAUAAGUUAUGCAUAUUUUGUGAUGUUUUAUGGAGCUUUUCUUUUUUCUCCCCCUAUUUUUUCACCUUUAUCAUGGGAACUGAGUUUUUCUUUUUUCUUUUUUUUUUGUGCAAAGGUGAAAAUUUCUACGAGCCUAACAUUGAUUGUAAUUUUUGUGGGAGUUACUACUUUGAAGAUAUAAAGGUAUUUGAACCCCCAAAAAAAAAAAAAAGAUUCAAGUGAUGGACAUGGAAUUAUUGGCUGCCAGUAGUUGAAAUCUCAAACUAGUAUAGAGAAAGCAGGGAGAAGAAGACAAAGUAGGGUUUUGAGGUUAAUUUUGGACUUUCACGAAAAUUUCAUGUUGACAUCCUUCACUGUGUAUCAGUCAACGUUAGCAAUAUAACGAUAAGAGUUACUUGUUAUGCAUUAAACAGCCUGAGGGACCUUUUUGUAGUUUGUCCAAGCUUGAGGGUUUGAUUCGUAGUUUGGUUAAAUCUCAAGGGAGGUAAACGUAAUUAACUCUAAUUAUAAUGCUAGUAGGAAAAACUUGGGGGAGACGUUGAUUUGACUCAUUAAUUGGACCGUAAUCGGUGUUUUUUUUUUUGCUAUUUGUCGGUAUUGAAGUAUCAAGAGAAGGAGAGAGAAUACGCUUUGUUCAUGGAAUGAUGAUGCAAGGUUUGAUGCUAUUACGGAGUGUGGGAAUCCACAGCAUGGUGCUCUAUUUUAUUUCAGGAUUAAUUGCAACUUAGAUUCCUAUACUAUAUUGGGGCUAUACUUUUGCACCCUAAAAUUUUUGCAUCUUUUUAAAUUAGAGUUUUUCUAUUUGCAAUAAUGACUUUAAAAUUUGCUAAUUGCAAGUGUGUCUAUGAUAUGCUUCUUGAAAUGGUGAUUUUAUGUCCCUUUACCAACAACCUUUUGGUAAAAUAGUUCACUAUAUUGAUCUUUUACUAGGUCAUAUUCCAUUUUAUUGUUAGAGUUCAUCCAUUAUUUCUAUUUAGCAAGCAACUAAAAUUUGCAUCCUCUAUAUUCUAAAUGUCUUUACUUGGUUUUUGUGGGUUUUUCAUAGAGUGAAUAUAUGCAAAAAGAUAAAAGUAUUUUCUAAAAGAAAACAGUAUGAAGAUGUGGAACUAAAGUAUGGCCAUACUUGAGAAUUGGUUUCCUCUUCGCAAAACUACUGAAAUUUUGCCACAUUGCAUUUAUAACUUUUAACCUCCUUGUUAUUUGCAUUCAUAACUAUCGCUAAGAACCACACUACAUGGUAGGAGGCGUAAAAAAUGGAUGACUUAAGCAGGUUCGGAUAGGUUAUAAUUGAGUAAUGGAUAUAAUUGAAUCAACUCAUCUAUACCGAUUUAAUAAAUGAAUCAAAUGAGUCAACUCAUUUAUAUUCAUUCAAUAAAUGAGUAUGGGUAUAUAACUAAUUACUCAUUUAUGACCCACUUGAAUUUUUACUUGCUCUUUUUUUCUUGUUCUUUUGGAUGUUGUUUCAUAAGAAAUAACAAUAUUUUAUUAUUAUUGGAUUGAUAAGAAAUUCAAAUUUAUCCGUUUAACAUCCACCAAAGCUUGGGAUUAAAUAUCCAAUUAUUUUUAAAUGUAUAUAGAUGGUUUUGAGUCAAUCUAUUACCUACCAAUUAUUUUUAAUUGAGUUUAAUUGAGUCAUAAAUCUAAACCCUUUCAAAAUUCACUGCAUACCCAAAUUCACUUAUUAGUGGGCGAGUUUGGACAAGUCAAUAUUACAACUACUUUGAUACCUAUAGUACAAGGUGUGACUCCAUUAAAGUCACCAUACGGAUUAGCAAAUUUGAAGUUGCUGAUUGAAACAGCGACUUUAAAUGGAUAUUUCAAAUGGCAAAUUUUUUUUUUGGAAGGCUAAAACAUGCUGGACUUGUUUCGAAUUAUCAAUAAAUAGAGGAUUAUAUUGGUAAACGAUCCUUUUCGAAUGCACAGGGAUUGUCAUCAUUAUUGCUCUACUUAAAGAUCCAUUUUUCUUUUUGCCACACCUUUUUGGCUUUUUCUAAUGAUAGAUGUUGUAAGCAUCUUAUCUUUCUGGAUCAUAGCAAUUUUCCAAUACUUUUCAUGAUUAUCUUGGAGCGAAAAGAAGUAAGACGACUAGGAAAGAUGACAUGCGAAUCAUCCUCGUUAUAGAUACGCUAGCUGUUAUGUAAAACAAAGACUUGAUACUCCGUUAAUAACUACACUGAAUACACCAGUAAAUGUAUGAAUUAUAUCAUGUAUUAACUAAGCAAACUAACCAUCAACAAGAUCUCACUAUUUCUGAGAAGGCAAAGGACCUAAGCAAUCUAACCAUCAAAGUCAUUUAUUCUGUACAUAUGUUCAAGUUUUCCAGUUCAAUUGAGAUUCAUUAACAUCGAAGCGGCAUUUGCUCGGCUCAGGCUGCCAAUGUGCACAGUGAUAUGAAAGAAUUUAGGCAUUCCUGGGAACUUUAUGUCCUUAAACAUGCCAUUCUCAGGAUUGUAGGAAACUAGAGCUCCCCAUCUAUACUGCAACAAGAUCUCACCAUUGCUGAGAAGGCAAAGUACGUGAACAUAUCGUUGAUUAAUUACAUUCUUCCAGAUCCUGUAUGUUCGUCGCAUUUCUGGAGACCUAUAUCUCGUCACAUCAUAAGCCCCGAUGCUGAAAACUCUCUCCCAGGACUCUUUCACGCCAUACUCUUUCAUGAUCCAAAUGUCUUGAACCCAAUAAUUUGUAGACGAAGGAUGAACAAUAGACAGACACCCUCCCAGAACACUGAGAGAGUAUCUGUGCCUGAAUAGGUUGACAUCAUUUUCAGGCAAUGGAACUUCACUAAAAAUCUCAUUAGAUAAAUCAAAUGACACGAGAAUUCGG